rnacentral:rRNA from 1 species
GCACAAGCGGUGGAUGAUGUGGUUUAAUUCGAUGCAACGCGAAAAACCUUACCCACCUUUGACAUGGCAGGAACUUACCAGAGAUGGUUUGGUGCUCGAAAGAGAACCUGCACACAGGUGCUGCAUGGCUGUCGUCAGCUCGUGUCGUGAGAUGUUGGGUUAAGUCCCGCAACGAGCGCAACCCUUGCCAUUAGUUGCUACAUUCAGUUGAGCACUCUAAUGGGACUGCCGGUGACAAACCGGAGGAAGGUGGGGAUGACGUCAAGUCCUCAUGGCCCUUAUAGGUGGGGCUACACACGUCAUACAAUGGCUGGUACAAAGGGUUGCCAACCCGCGAGGGGGAGCUAAUCCCAUAAAGCCAGUCGUAGUCCGGAUCGCAGUCUGCAACUCGACUGCGUGAAGUCGGAAUCGCUAGUAAUCGUGGAUC